rnacentral:rRNA from 1 species
UGCAUGUCUCAGUACAAGCCAAAUUAAGGUGAAACCGCGAAAGGCUCAUUAAAUCAGUUAUGGUUCCUUAGAUCGUACCACAUUUACUUGGAUAACUGUGGUAAUUCUAGAGCUAAUACAUGCAAACAGAGCUCCGACCGGAGACGGAAGGAGCGCUUUUAUUAGAUCAAAACCAAUCGGUGGCGGGCUCGCCCGUCAUCGUACAUUUUGGUGACUCUGAAUAACUUUUUGCUGAUCGCACGGUCACGCACCGGCGACGCAUCUUUCAAAUGUCUGCCUUAUCAACUGUCGAUGGUAGGUUCUGCGCCUACCAUGGUUGUAACGGGUAACGGGGAAUCAGGGUUCGAUUCCGGAGAGGGAGCCUGAGAAACGGCUACCACAUCCAAGGAAGGCAGCAGGCGCGCAAAUUACCCACUCCCGGCACGGGGAGGUAGUGACGAAAAAUAACGAUACGGGACUCAUCCGAGGCCCCGUAAUCGGAAUGAGUACACUCUAAACUCUUUAACGAGAACCCAUUGGAGGGCAAGUCUGGUGCCAGCAGCCGCGGUAAUUCCAGCUCCAAUAGCGUAU